rnacentral:rRNA from 1 species
GAGUUUGAUCCUGGCUCAGAACGAACGCUGGCGGCGUGCCUAACACAUGCAAGUCGAACGUGAUUAGAGAGCUUGCUCUUUAUGAAAGUGGCGCACGGGUGAGUAACGCGUAGAUAAUCUACCUGAUGAUCCGGGAUAACACUUYGAAAGAGGUGCUAAUACCUGAUAAGCCCACGGGGUCUUCGGACUCUGCGGGAAAAGGGGGGGACCUUUACCGGCCUUCCGUCAUCAGAUGAGUCUGCGUACCAUUAGCUAGUUGGUAGGGUAAAGGCCUACCAAGGCGACGAUGGUUAGCUGGUCUGAGAGGAUGAUCAGCCACACUGGAACUGAGACACGGUCCAGACUCCUACGGGAGGCAGCAGUGGGGAAUUUUGCGCAAUGGGGGAAACCCUGACGCAGCAACGCCGCGUGAGUGAUGAAGGCCCUUGGGUCGUAAAGCUCUGACAGAGGGAAAGAAGUGUAGAGUGGCUAAUAUCCACAUUACUUGACGGUACCCUCAAAGGAAGCACCGGCUAACUCCGUGCCAGCAGCCGCGGUAAUWCAAGCRCGCAUUGGAAACAGCUCGACCAYGAKUMCGGAUYCWCWGSCCGUCGUURUACAGCCAAUGAAACAGCUAGAACAGSG